rnacentral:misc_RNA from 1 species
UCCCCCCCCCCUACUACUCCUACUCCCACCACCUACAGGCUACAGUUGCCGUCCACAUCGCCCGCCGCGAUUGGCCGUGACCUCCGUCAAGACACAGCAUGAGAACCAGCCAAUCACAAAAACACGCCAAACUUUCGGAACAAGAAAAAAAGGCGUAAAAAAUUCAGAUGAAAAAUACAAUUUCGUAGAAAAAGUAAACAGCCACACCGGUCAACUUUACAAAUGGCAGCCGAAACCAAAGCGCGUCUUUGUGCGUGUAUAUAAACACCGAACUCGCAGUGACGCAUCAGCAAUAAGCGCAAACGCACACAAGCGGAGGACAAACAAACAGCAAGAGAGCGGAACGCCGAAAGGCAAAGGCAAAGGCAACGGCAACGCAAGCCAGAGGCAGAGCGCGCCCCGCCACGAUGAAGAAGGAGGAGGUGGCCUCGCCGGCGGCGGCGACGGUGGUCCUGCUGCUCCUGUCGUCGUCGUUGGCGGCCGUCUCCGGCCAGCCACAGCCGCAGCCGCAGCCCGGGGGCAGCAAGCAGACGGCGGCGAACAACCCGCGGCUGCAGAAGGCGUACGUGGCGCUGCAGGCGCUGAAGCGCGCGGUGACGGAGGACCCCAAGAACCUGACGCGGAGCUGGUGCGGGCCGGACGUGUGCGGCUACUUCGGCGUGUACUGCGCGGCGGCGCCGGACGAGCCGCGGGAGCAGACGGUGGCCGGGGUGGACCUGAACCACGGCGACCUGGCGGGGACGCUCCCGGAGGAGCUGGGCCUGCUGGCGGACCUAGCGCUGCUGCACCUCAACUCGAACCGGUUCGCGGGGACGCUCCCGGAGUCCCUCCCCAAGAUGCGGCUCCUGCACGAGCUGGACGUGAGCAACAACCGCCUCUCGGGCGGGUUCCCGCAGCACAUCCUGUGCCUGCCAAAUGUGAAGUACGUGGACCUGCGGUUCAACGAGCUGCGCGGGCCGGUGCCGCCGGCGCUCUUCGACAAGCCGCUGGACGCCGUCUUCCUCAACGACAACGCCUUCGACUUCGAGCUGCCGGACAGCCUGGGCAACUCGCCGGCGUCCGUGCUCGUGCUGGCCAACCUGCGCCUGCGCGGGUGCAUCCCGCGCAGCGUGGGCCGCAUGGCGGGCACGCUGGCCGAGCUGGUGGCGCUCAACUCGGGCCUCCGCUCCUGCCUCCCGCAGGAGCUGGGCUGGCUGCGCGAGCUCACCGUGCUGGACCUCAGCUCCAACCAGCUGCAGGGGAUGCUGCCGGAGUCCAUGGCCGGCAUGCACAGCCUGCAGCAGCUCCACGUGGCGCGCAACGAGCUGUGGGGCCACGUCCCCGAGGGCGUCUGCGCGCUGCCCGCGCUCCGCAACUUCACCUACUCGUACAACUACUUCUGCUCCGAGCCAAGCCGCUGCCUCGACGUCCGCCACGUCGACGACCGCCAGAACUGCAUCGCCGCCCGCCCCGACCAGCGCCCCGCAGACCAGUGCCUCGCCUUCCUCCACCGCCCGCCCGUGCGCUGCGACGACAGCGGCUGCUUCGCCCCGCCGCCGCCGCACUACUAGAGAUCCAUGCGUACUCUGGCUCUGCCGGCGGUGGGAGAGAGACAGAAGGAGAGGGAGACAGUCGCCGCCGGCUCGCCGCGUCGGGGCUUGUAAACUUCGCUUGUGUGGACGUGUGGUGAGGGAUGUGAGAGUGAGACCGAGAGGGGGGGUAAAUCCGUAAACAGAAAACGACCGUAUAUAUUAUACAGCUGUAAUUCUUUUUUUCUUCUUCUUUUACCUUACUUUCCACAGGAGUGGUGUCGAUUGGAGUAUUUGGUGGGAUAUAUUGUAGACAGAAACUAUAGUGAAUUUUACAGCGUUAAUUCAAUUACCCACUGACCAGUGACCAACAAUCUCUUGUAG